CUUUAAUUUGAUGUCACACAUACAUAUUUAAAUUCUCAUUCAUUACAAAAAAAAAAAAAGCGCAAAAUAAUGGGGGAAAAAAACAAAAACUUUUUUUCACAGUUUUGGCAAUAAUAGUGUGUGCAUAAUAUGUCCUGCUUAGAAAAGUAAUUCAAAAUAAAUUCAUUUAUGUGUUGAUUUAUAGACAUAAUAUGUGUAGGAUUUCAGCUUAUUUUGAAAGUUAUAGGUCACAAAAUACAAGGACUAAAAUACAAUUUCAAUGUGAAACAAUUUUAGAAUUUGGUAUGUUUGUCUUGUAGGUUUAGUAGCCAUUACAGAAAAUUUUUUUGCCACACAAAAGUAUAUAUUUAUAAAGUAGACAUCACAGGCUAUUUACCUAAGGUUAUUUUGACACUUUUUACGAAGCCAUUUCAUCGCCAAGCUCUGCUAAAUAUUGGAGUAAAAUUGUGUUUUUUUUCUCUAUUUUGGCAUAUACACAUAAGGUUUUUGCAAUGUGUAUUUCGUAAAGCUGGUGUGUGCUAUCCCUGCACAGAACCCCAUAUUGUGUUCAGCUACAUCUGCGGAGUAUAACGAUACCCCCAUUGUAUACCUUUGGCACUAUUCUGUGAAGCUACAAUGCCAUAAGAGACCAGGCUAUUUCAGUUUCUACAAUUAGAAUUUUCUUAGAUGGAUAUGAUGGGCCUAUGUCUCAUUUUAGGGUAUUACAGCAAUGUGACUGUUCAAAUAACCCCACAAAGGGCUUUCAUUUGAUGAAGCAGACACCGCAGUGCAUCUUAUAUGGCGUAUAUUACGCCUUAACUUGUCACCAUUUUUUCACCAAUUUAUGUCAAUGUUUGUGGUGAGGAAAAAAAAAAAUGGCAUUUUUUACAUAUAUGUUGCAUUUUUGCUGAGUAUUUCUUGCAUUUGAUAUGUGCCACUGUCAUAAAACCCCCCAAAUUAUGCUCAGUUACAUCUUCUGAUUAAAACAAUAUGCUCAAUGUAUGACCUAGACAUCAUUUUGUGAAGUUACAGUGCUGUAAAAGAGACGUGACAAGUUCAAGUUUUUAAGUGUGAAUUUUCAUGGAGGGAUUUGAUGGCUCCGUGUUCCAUUCUGGAGCACUUCAGCGAGCGACAUAUUCCAGCUAGUGAUGUCCCGAACUGCUCGCCGAACGGUUCGCCGGGGACUCAUCAUUGAGUAAACUUUGACCCUGUACCUCACAGUCAGCAGACACAUUCCAGCCAAUCAGCAGCAGACCCUCC